UGCAAGUCGAGCGAACUGAUUAGAAGCUUGCUUCUAUGACGUUAGCGGCGGACGGGUGAGUAACACGUGGGCAACCUGCCUGUAAGACUGGGAUAACUUCGGGAAACCGAAGCUAAUACCGGAUAGGAUCUUCUCCUUCAUGGGAGAUGAUUGAAAGAUGGUUUCGGCUAUCACUUACAGAUGGGCCCGCGGUGCAUUAGCUAGUUGGUGAGGUAACGGCUCACCAAGGCAACGAUGCAUAGCCGACCUGAGAGGGUGAUCGGCCACACUGGGACUGAGACACGGCCCAGACUCCUACGGGAGGCAGCAGUAGGGAAUCUUCCGCAAUGGACGAAAGUCUGACGGAGCAACGCCGCGUGAGUGAUGAAGGCUUUCGGGUCGUAAAACUCUGUUGUUAGGGAAGAACAAGUACGAGAGUAACUGCUCGUACCUUGACGGUACCUAACCAGAAAGCCACGGCUAACUACGUGCCAGCAGCCGCGGUAAUACGUAGGUGGCAAGCGUUAUCCGGAAUUAUUGGGCGUAAAGCGCGCGCAGGCGGUUUCUUAAGUCUGAUGUGAAAGCCCACGGCUCAACCGUGGAGGGUCAUUGGAAACUGGGGAACUUGAGUGCAGAAGAGAAAAGCGGAAUUCCACGUGUAGCGGUGAAAUGCGUAGAGAUGUGGAGGAACACCAGUGGCGAAGGCGGCUUUUUGGUCUGUAACUGACGCUGAGGCGCGAAAGCGUGG
rnacentral:rRNA from 2 species